rnacentral:lncRNA from 1 species
GCAUGCAGUAUACCACUUGUUAAAAAAGAUUCAAAAAAUUCACAUUAAUUGAUAGAAUAAUAACAUGAUACAAAAGGGAACUGGACCAAAACCUCCGCAAUUAAAUUCUUUAUUACAUACGUGAAAAAUAUCAAACCAACAAUGAAUUAUUAAAAACAAGACAUCAAUUACAGGUAAUUAAUUAAAAUAUAUAUAUAUAUUCAAGGCUUUGGGUUAUGCUGGUUGUUUGCUCGUGGAGCAGAAUAGUCUAACGCCAAAUCCAUUCUUCUUGCUACAGAUACUUCUCCAAUAAAGAAGUCUGCAUCAUCCACUGCUAUGUCCGUCGCAUCCUAUAUACACAAGAGAGAAGCCAAUUACUCAAGUAUUUUAGGGAGAACCAAAGUCAAUUAUCUCGAAAUUACAUGUACGUAUAAUAUAAUCCAAUGUCUUUGACUUGAAAUAUAUAUAACCAAAGGACUUCUUUGAACCAAAUAAGAGUUACUAUAUUAUUAAUAGCCGAUUAGAAAGGCUCACGUCCUUCAUAUCAUUCUCUUUUUUCUCUCUUGCUUCUAAGCAUGAAAUAAGAAGUUCUGCAAGGACUUGGUGUGUGAUANNNNNNNNNNNNNNNNNNNNUUGAGGGAAUAUGUGUGUGUUCUUAGGAUCUUAAAUUGAAUUUCAUAAAUAAAUUGAUAAUCGAGCAUCAAUUUCAAAACUAAUAGUGACAACUAGAAUUAAUUAGGAAUUUUAGGAACUAUCCGUAAUUUCAUUCCGUUCCCUAGUCAAUAGGAAAUUAGUGUCUACCUAGUUUCAACACGUAAUGGAAUUUGGUAAUGUUUGAUUAAUAAUAUUCAUAUACUGGUAAAAAAAAAAAUGUACUAACGCAAAAGUAAUAUAACAUCUUCAGAAAAAGUAAGAAAACAGUAUAACAUCUACAAGCCACAUGUUGCGUUCACCUUUUUCUCAAAUUCUUUUUAGUGUUUGAUUUGAAGAAAUAAACAAAGGAAACAAAAAAUAUUAAAGUAAAGGAGAAGGAUUCCUUUUGACUUUUAUUUAUCUUGCGAUUAGUAAAAAGAAAACAAGAAAAUUGAUGAGAGUAAUCAUUGUAAUCAUUUCUCUCAUUCCUAUCGAGUUUAAUUCCUAACAGAAAAUGCAUUUAUUUCCCUAAUUUUUCCUUUUCUAUCUCGAUUCAAAAUUAAAUCCCUUCAAAAAAUGUAAAACUCUAAUUAAAAAAUGCAAGGCUAGGGGCUCCUACACCGCUUCAAGGAUCUCUUUCUGUUUUUCCAUUUACAUUAAUGUUGUUUAAAUAAAACAUAAACAUACCAAAUUAAUUUGAGAAAAUUAAGAUUCAAAUGACAUUUUCUUUUUUGGCAUAAAGAUCUUACAUAAAAUGUACGAACUAGCCGUAUAUAUAAAGAAGGAGAGAGGGGAAGAGGACGAGAACCUGGUCCUGUAAGUCGUUGAGAAAUGGUUCAUCAAUGGAUGCCAUGAGAAUUCCUGUUAGUACAGAAAAUUAAAAAGACAAUUUGUUAGAUUAGUUUUAAUUAGUGUAAAUUGAAUAUACAUAAAAUCAUGAGCAAAUUCUUGGUCGGAAUAUGUGAUUUGCUUGCACGCUUUCUAUAUUUGAUUCAUACUCAACCAAUCCUUCAAACCCAAAAUCUAGAAUCAGUGAAUUCAGAAUGAUCGGUACCAUCUUUGAUAUAUAUUCACAUGAAAAAAUACAACUUUUUUUAGAAACAGACUAAAAAAUAUAUAUAUUAUCAUAUAAAACGUAACAGAUAAAGUAUAUACUGACUUGAUGAUGAAGCUGUUGAAAUGAUAGUAGCAAAGAUGAACAGCAUAAGAAGCUGGAAAACAACUUUUUGCACCAUUUUGAUGAGGUAAUUUAGCAGAUGGGACAAGUUUUCAGAAGAUUUGAGUUUAGGUGAUUAAUUAUAUGGAUUUGUCCAGUUUAUGACAAGAUUAUAUAGAGUUAGAAUGGUGUUAGGAAAU